GAUGAAGAACGAAGCGAAAUGCGAUAAGUAAUGUGAAUUGCAGAAUUCAGUGAAUCAUCGAAUCUUUGAACGCACCUUGCACCCUUUGGCAUUCCGAAGGGUAUGCUCGUUUGAGUGUCAUUGUACUCUCACACUCUCCGAUUCUAUGGAUUCGGGGAGCGGUGGACUUGGGUGUUGCUGCCUUUCCUUGUGGCUCACCUCAAAUGUGUCAGUGCACCUCUUGGUUGGACAUAGUACGGCGUGAUAAGUGUCUUCGCCGGCACCUCGCAAGAGGGUGGCCGAUCGGGAGCUCUGUGCUUUCAAACCGUCUUCGGACAAUUUCUGACAACUUGACCUCAAAUCGAGUAGGACUACCCGCUGAACUUAAGCAUAUCAAUAAGCGGAGGA
rnacentral:misc_RNA from 1 species